CAGUCGCCGCGGGAAUACGUAGGGUGCGAGCGUUAAUCGGAAUUACUGGGCGUAAAGCGUGCGCAGGCGGUUGUGCAAGACAGAUGUGAAAUCCCCGAGCUUAACUUGGGAACUGCAUUUGUGACUGCACGGCUAGAGUGUGUCAGAGGGGGGUAGAAUUCCACGUGUAGCAGUGAAAUGCGUAGAUAUGUGGAGGAAUACCGAUGGCGAAGGCAGCCCCCUGGGAUAACACUGACGCUCAUGCACGAAAGCAUGGGGAGCAAACAGGAUUAGAUACCCCGGUAGUCCCUGUCUCUUAUAC
rnacentral:rRNA from 1 species